CGACGACGCAACGCCGCGUGGAGGAUGAAGGUCUUCGGAUUGUAAACUCCUGUUGCUAGGGACGAAUGGCUCCGACCUAACACGUCGGAGUGUGACGGUACCUGGUGACGGAAGCCCCCGGCUAACUCUGUGCCAGCAGCCGCGGUAAUACAGAGGGGGCAAGCGUUGUUCGGAAUUACUGGGCGUAAAGGGCGCGUAGGCGGCCUGCUAAGUCGAACGUGAAAUCCCCGGGCUCAACCCGGGAACUGCGUCCGAUACUGGUGGGCUUGAAUCCGGGAGAGGGAUGCGGAAUUCCAGGUGUAGCGGUGAAAUGCGUAGAUAUCUGGAGGAACACCGGUGGCGAAGGCGGCAUCCUGGACCGGUAUUGACGCUGAGGCGCGAAAGCCAGGGGAGCAAACGGGAUUAGAUACCCCGGUAGUCCUGGCCCUAAACGAUGAAUGCUUGGUGUGGCGGGUAUCGAUCCCUGCCGUGCCGAAGCUAACGCAUUAAGCAUUCCGCCUGGGGAGUACGGUCGCAAGGCUG
rnacentral:rRNA from 1 species